rnacentral:rRNA from 1 species
CCACGUCGUUAGUUACAGUGUCUAGCGAGACUGCCCGUGAUAAGCGGGAGGAAGGUGUGGAUGACGUCUAGUCAGCAUGGCCUUUAUGUCCUGGGCUACACACACGCUACAAUGGCCAGUACAAUGGGUAGCGAAACCGCGAGGUGGAACCAAUCUCGUAAAGCUGGUCUCAGUUCGGAUUGUAAGCUGCAACUCGCCUGCAUGAACUCGGAGUUGCUAAUAACCGCGCGUCAGCACAGUGCGAUGAAUACGUUCCCGGGUCUUGUACACACCGCCCGU